rnacentral:rRNA from 1 species
UGCGUAGGCGGUUCGUCGUGUCCGCUGUGAAAUCCCCCGGCUUACCCGGGGAACGGCGGCGGAAACUGUCGGGCUUGAGGACAGGAGGGGAGAGUGGAACUCUAGGUGGAGCGGUGAAAUGCGUUGAUAUCUAGAGGAACGCCGGAGGCGAAAGCGACUCUCUGGUCUGUCUCUGACGCUGAUGCACGAAAGCUAGGGUAGCGAACAGGAUUAGAUACCCUGGUAGUCC